rnacentral:rRNA from 1 species
GACGAACGCUGGCGGCGUGCUUAACACAUGCAAGUCGAACGGAAAGGCCCUGCUUGCAGGGUACUCGAGUGGCGAACGGGUGAGUAACACGUGGGUGAUCUGCCCUGCACUUCGGGAUAAGCCUGGGAAACUGGGUCUAAUACCGGAUAGGAGCCAUUUUUAGUGUGAUGGUUGGAAAGUUUGUUCGGUGUAGGAUGAGCUCGCGGCCUAUCAGCUUGUUGGUGGGGUAAUGGCCUACCAAGGCGGCGACGGGUAGCCGGCCUGAGAGGGUGGACGGCCACAUUGGGACUGGGAGACGGCCCAGACUCCUACGGGAGGCAGCAGUGGGGAAUAUUGCACAAUGGGCGCAAGCCUGAUGCAGCGACGCCGCGGGGGGGAUGACGGCCUUCGGGUUGUAAACUCCUUUCGCUAUGGACGAAGCUUUUUGUGACGGUACCUAGAUAAGAAGCACCGGCUAACUACGUG